UGAACAUGCAUGUUCUCACGUUCUCAGAGAGAGAGAGUCAGAGAGUGUAACAACAGAGAUUUAUCUGGUGUGUGUAUCUUUGAGUACAUCAGCUGAUUGAUGAUAUACAAAAGAGAGUGUGCAGCGUUUUCGUUGCACCGCUGCUGCUGUAACCGACUCGCAUCAGGCAACGUCUAACCUCCAGAGCCAAUUGAGCGGUGAUCGUGGCGUUGAAUACGUAAAUAAAUAGUCAUAAAAACGAUAAAAAUCGAGUCUAUCGUACAGCCUGCUGCUGCCAGUGUGGAUCAUGACAUCCACUGGCAGAGCAAUGUAAUGAGUAGCUGCGGCAACAGGAGCAUCAUUUGCACAGGCAGCAAGCUCAAGCUACCCUCCUCUACCUCAUCGUUAUCCUUAUCUACCUCUAUCACCAAAAUUUCGGACAAACUCUUGGAGGAGUCAACGACAGCCAGUGUCAACGACAAACCAACGAUUGUCGCGCACACGACCUCCGUCGUUGCUUCUACUGCCACUGAAAGCAGCAACAAAGAGGACAACAAGGAAAACGUGAAGAAGGACGGUAGCA